AGUCACUGACAUUAGAUACCCCUGUAGUCCAGGGUGUAAACGCUGCAGACUUGGUGUUGGAGGCCCUUUGGGGGCAUUCAGUGCCGGAGAGAAGUUGUUAAGUCUGCUACUUGGGGAGUACGUCCGCAAGGAUGAAACUUAAAGGAAUUGGCGGGGGAGCACCGCAACGGGAGGAGCGUGCGGUUUAAUUGGAUUCAACACCGUAAAACUCACCAGGGAAGACUGUUACAUGAAAGCCGAGAUGAAGACUCUGCUAGAUUUUCAG
rnacentral:rRNA from 1 species